GACAGAGGGGGCAAGCGUUGCUCGGAAUCACUGGGCGUAAAGGGCGCGUAGGCGGGAUGGCAAGUCAGUCGUGAAAUCUCUCGGCUCAACCGAGAAACGUCGGCUGAUACUGCCGUUCUUGAGGGAUGCAGAGGAGACUGGAAUUCCCGGUGUAGCGGUGAAAUGCGUAGAUAUCUGGAGGAACACCGGUGGCGAAGGCGACAUCCUGGACCGGUAUUGACGCUGAGGCGCGAAAGCCAGGGGAGCAAACGGG
rnacentral:rRNA from 1 species